rnacentral:rRNA from 1 species
AUUGAACGCUGGCGGCAUGCUUUACACAUGCAAGUCGAACGGUAACAGGCCGCAAGGUGCUGACGAGUGGCGAACGGGUGAGUAAUGCAUCGGAACGUGCCCAGUCGUGGGGGAUAACGCAGCGAAAGCUGUGCUAAUACCGCAUACGAUCUAUGGAUGAAAGCGGGGGACCGUAAGGCCUCGCGCGAUUGGAGCGGCCGAUGUCAGAUUAGGUAGUUGGUGGGGUAAAGGCUCACCAAGCCAACGAUCUGUAGCUGGUCUGAGAGGACGACCAGCAACACUGGGACUGAGACACGGCCCAGACUCCGACGGGAGGCAGCAGUGGGGAAUUUUGGACAAUGGGCGCAAGCCUGAUCCAGCAAUGCCGCGUGCAGGAAGAAGGCCUUCGGGUUGUAAACUGCUUUUGUACGGAACGAAAAGGUUUGGGUUAAUACCCUGGGCCGAUGACGGUACCGUAAGAAUAAGCACCGGCUAACUACGUGCCAGCCGCCGCCGUAAUAC